rnacentral:lncRNA from 1 species
UCUAUACUGGUUUAUACUGGUCUAUACUGGUUUAUACUGGUCCCAACCGGCCCGUACCGGUGCAUAAGGGUCCCAACUGGUCUAUACUGGUUUAUACUGGUCUAUACCGGUCUGUACUCGUUUAUACUGGUUUAUACUGGUCCAAACUGCCCCGUACCCAUCCAUACUGGUCCCUACUGGUCUACACUGGUCUACUUAUACUGGCCUAUACUGGUUUAUACUGGUCUAUACUGGUUUAUACUAGUUCAUACCCGUCCGAACCAGCCCGUACCGGCCCACAAGGGUCCCAACUGGUCUAUACUGGUCUAUACUGGUCUAUUUAUACUGGUCUACACUGGUUUAUGCUGGUCUAUACCGGUCCAUACUGGUUUAUACUGGCUUAAACCGGUCCGAACCGGCCCAUACCAGCCCAUAAGGGUCCCAACUGGUCUAUACUGGCCUACACUGGUCUACUUAUACUGGUCUAUACUGGUUUAUACUGGUCUAUACUGGUUUAUACUGGUUCAUACCCAUCCGAACCGGCCCGUACCGGCCCACAAGGGUCCCAACUGGUCUAUACUGGUCUAUACUGGUCUAUUUAUACUGGUCUACACUGGUCUACACUGGUUUAUGCUGGUCUAUACCGGUCUAUACUGGUUUAUACUGGUUUAUACCGGUCCGAACCGGCCCGUUCCGGCCCACAGGGGUCCCAACUGGUCUACACUGGCCCAUACCGGCCCGUACUGGUCCGUACUGGUUUAUACUGGUGCCACUCACCCUCCUUGUCGCCGCCGUUCUCCUUCCGGCCUCGCUUCGGCAUGGCGCCGCCUGGCCCCGCCCCUCCCCCGGCCCCCUCCGCCAAUCAGCGCCCGCCGCGGGGGCCGCCCCGGAGCCAAUCAGCGGCGGCGGCGGCGGCGCGGCCGGGCCCGGGCUCUCCGCGUGCGGCGCGCGGGGCGGAAGCGGAAGCGGGGAGCGGGAGCGGAAGUGACGCCGGGCGGAGUGACGGCGGCGGUGACGUCAGCGAUGCCGACGGUGCUGGGGCUGGAGGGCUCG